rnacentral:rRNA from 1 species
GUGGAUUAGAUACCCUGGUAGUCCACGCCCUAAACGAUGUGUGCUAGUUGCUGGGAAUUUCAUUCUCGGUGACGCAGCUAACGCCUUAAGCACACCGCCUGGGGAGUACGGUCGCAAGAUUAAAACUCAAAGGAAUUGACGGGGGCCCGCACAAGCGGUGGAGUAUGUUCUUUAAUUCGACGCAACGCGAAAAACCUUACCUACACUUGACAUGUCCGGACGAUUAUCAGAGAUGAUUUUCUUCCCGCAAGGGACUGGAACACAGGUGCUGCAUGGCCGUCGUCAGCU